GAUGAACGCUAGCUACAGGCUUAACACAUGCAAGUCGAGGGGCAGCAUGGUCUUAGCUUGCUAAGGCCGAUGGCGACCGGCGCACGGGUGAGUAACACGUAUCCAACCUGCCGUCUACUCUUGGACAGCCUUCUGAAAGGAAGAUUAAUACAAGAUGGCAUCAUGAGUCCGCAUGUUCACAUGAUUAAAGGUAUUCCGGUAGACGAUGGGGAUGCGUUCCAUUAGAUAGUAGGCGGGGUAACGGCCCACCUAGUCUUCGAUGGAUAGGGGUUCUGAGAGGAAGGUCCCCCACAUUGGAACUGAGACACGGUCCAAACUCCUACGGGAGGCAGCAGUGAGGAAUAUUGGUCAAUGGGCGAGAGCCUGAACCAGCCAAGUAGCGUGAAGGAUGACUGCCCUAUGGGUUGUAAACUUCUUUUAUAAAGGAAUAAAGUCGGGUAUGGAUACCCGUUUGCAUGUACUUUAUGAAUAAGGAUCGGCUAACUCCGUGCCAGCAGCCGCGGUAAUACGGAGGAUCCGAGCGUUAUCCGGAUUUAUUGGGUUUAAAGGGAGCGUAGAUGGAUGUUUAAGUCAGUUGUGAAAGUUUGCGGCUCAACCGUAAAAUUGCAGUUGAUACUGGAUAUCUUGAGUGCAGUUGAGGCAGGCGGAAUUCGUGGUGUAGCGGUGAAAUGCUUAGAUAUCACGAAGAACUCCGAUUGCGAAGGCAGCCUGCUAAGCUGCAACUGACAUUGAGGCUCGAAAGUGUGGGUAUCAAACAGGAUUAGAUACCCUGGUAGUCCACACGGUAAACGAUGAAUACUCGCUGUUUGCGAUAUACAGCAAGCGGCCAAGCGAAAGCGUUAAGUAUUCCACCUGGGGAGUACGCCGGCAACGGUGAAACUCAAAGGAAUUGACGGGGGCCCGCACAAGCGGAGGAACAUGUGGUUUAAUUCGAUGAUACGCGAGGAACCUUACCCGGGCUUAAAUUGCAGAUGAAUUACGGUGAAAGCCGUAAGCCGCAAGGCAUCUGUGAAGGUGCUGCAUGGUUGUCGUCAGCUCGUGCCGUGAGGUGUCGGCUUAAGUGCCAUAACGAGCGCAACCCUUGUUGUCAGUUACUAACAGGUUCCGCUGAGGACUCUGACAAGACUGCCAUCGUAAGAUGUGAGGAAGGUGGGGAUGACGUCAAAUCAGCACGGCCCUUACGUCCGGGGCUACACACGUGUUACAAUGGGGGGUACAGAGGGCCGCUACCACGCGAGUGGAUGCCAAUCCCCAAAACCUCUCUCAGUUCGGACUGGAGUCUGCAACCCGACUCCACGAAGCUGGAUUCGCUAGUAAUCGCGCAUCAGCCACGGCGCGGUGAAUACGUUCCCGGGCCUUGUACACACCGCCCGUCAAGCCAUGGGAGCCGGGGGUACCUGAAGUGCGUAACCGCGAGGAGCGCCCUAGGGUAAAACUGGUGACUGGGGC
rnacentral:rRNA from 1 species